GACGAACGCUGGCGGCGUGCCUAAUACAUGCAAGUAGAACGCAGUUGCGAACGGGUGAGUAACGCGUAGGUAACUGCCUCAUAGCGGGGGAUAACUAUUGGAAACGAUAGCUAAUACCGCAUACUGUGAGAUGGACCUGCGUUGUAUUAGCUAGUUGGUGAGGUAAAGGCUCACCAAGGCGACGAUACAUAGCCGACCUGAGAGGGGUAAUGGCCACACUUGGACUUGUACACCGCCCAAGACCCCACCGGAGGGCGCCGUAGGGAAUCUUUGGCAAUGGGACGGAGGCUGAACCAGGCACGCCGGCGUGGUUAAGAAGGUUUUUGGGUCGGUAAGCUCCGGUGGUAGGGAAGCGGUAACUAACCAGAAAGGGACGGCUAACUCCGUGCCAGCAGCCGCGGUAAUAC
rnacentral:rRNA from 1 species